rnacentral:lncRNA from 1 species
GGACUUUGAUUUUCCGUAUAAAUUGGGUUUUUUAAAUCUUUGUGUCCCUUAUACUUUGAUUUUCUGGUAUUUAACAUUUUAACCUUACAACUCACAUAGAAGCAAAUUGUUUUUUUUAAUGCACUCCAGAUGUUUGAUAAAAUGCUUAUUUGAAACAAUUUGUUCUUUAGGUACUGGUGUAGCAGGAGCUUAAGUGCAAAUGAACUAGGUACUGCUGCUGAUUUUCGGAGGCCUGAGUUAUUUUCUAGACCAGUUAGCUGAAAUUGGCAAAUGAACUAGGCACCGCUGUCGAAGACCAGUUAAAUGAAAUUGGUACUAGUGUCGAAGACUAGCGUGAAAUUCUGUCAAAGACUAACUGAAANNNNNNNNNNNNNNCAAAGCUCACUAGUGCUUAGAUUGUAUUCACUAUGCUUACACAUUGUAGAUGAAAGAACUUGGCACCGCCUUGAUUAUGUCGAAGAUGUAGAUUGUAAAUGGGGGUUAGCUCUAUUUGUAGAGUGAUUCACAUUGUAAAUGGGAGUUAGCUCUAUCUUUGUACAAAUUGUAAUUAUCAUCUUAUAUUAAAUGAAGAAG